rnacentral:rRNA from 1 species
UACGGAGGGGGCUAGCGUUGUUCGGAAUUACUGGGCGUAAAGCGCGCGUAGGCGGCUUUGUAAGUUAGAGGUGAAAUCCUGGAGCUCAACUCCAGAACUGCCUUUGAUACUGAAAGUCUUGAGUAUGGGAGAGGUGAGUGGAACUGCGAGUGUAGAGGUGAAAUUCGUAGAUAUUCGCAAGAACACCAGUGGCGAAGGCGGCUCACUGGCCCAUAACUGACGCUGAGGUGCGAAAGCGUGGGAGCAAACAGG